rnacentral:rRNA from 1 species
CUGAGAGGGUGAUCGGCCACACUGGGACUGAGACACGGCCCAGACUCCUACGGGAGGCAGCAGUAGGGAAUCUUCCGCAAUGGACGAAAGUCUGACGGAGCAACGCCGCGUGAGUGAUGAAGGUUUUCGGAUCGUAAAGCUCUGUUGUUAGGGAAGAACAAGUGCAAGAGUAACUGCUUGCACCUUGACGGUACCUAACCAGAAAGCCACGGCUAACUACGUGCCAGCAGCCGCGGUAAUACGUAGGUGGCAAGCGUUGUCCGGAAUUAUUGGGCGUAAAGGGCUCGCAGGCGGUUUCUUAAGUCUGAUGUGAAAGCCCCCGGCUCAACCGGGGAGGGUCAUUGGAAACUGGGAAACUUGAGUGCAGAAGAGGAGAGUGGAAUUCCACGUGUAGCGGUGAAAUGCGUAGAGAUGUGGAGGAACACCAGUGGCGAAGGCGACUCUCUGGUCUGUAACUGACGCUGAGGAGCGAAAGCGUGGGGAGCGAACAGGAUUAGAUACCCUGGGAGUCCACGCCGUAAACGAUGAUUGCUAAGUGUUAGGGGGUUUCCGCCCCUUAUUGCUGCAGCUAACGCAUUAAGCACUCCGGCCUGGGGACUACGGUCGCAAGACUGAUACUCAAAGGAAUUGACGGAGGCCCGCACAAACGCUGUAACAUGUGAUUUAUUGCGAAACAACGCGAAAACCUUACAUGUCGUGGACUGCUCUGACAACCCUAAA